rnacentral:rRNA from 1 species
UACGGGGGAUGCAAGCGUUAUCCGGAUUUAUUGGGCGUAAAGCGUUCGUAGAUGGUUGCUUAAGUUUAAUGUUAAAUACCAAGGCUUAACCUUGACAAUGCAUUAAAAACUGGGCGACUCUAGUGCAAUAGGGGUAAAGGGAAUUUCCAGUGUAGCGGUGAAAUGCGUAGAUAUUGGAAAGAACGCCUACAGCGAAAGCACUUUACUGGGUUGUUACUGAAAUUGAGGAACGAAAGCUAGGGGAGCAAACGGG